rnacentral:rRNA from 1 species
CCUACGUGUGGCAGCAGUGGGGAAUAUUGCACAUUGGGGGAAACCCUGAUGCAGCAACGCCGCGUGGGUGAAGGAGCGUUUCGGCGCGUAAAGCCCUGUCAGCGGGGAAGAAGAAAGACGGUACCCGACCAAGAAGCCCCGGCUAACUAAGUGCCAGGAGCCUCGGUAAUACGUAGGGGGCGAGCGUUAUCCGGAAUUACUGGGUGUAAAGGGAGCGUGGACGGCGAGGGACGCCUGGAGUGAAAGCCCGGGGCCCAACCGUGGAACUGCUUUUGAAACUGUUCUGCUGGAGUAUGGGUGGGGUAAGCGGAAUUCCUGGUGUAGCGGUGAAAUGCGUAGAUAUCAGGAGGAACACCGGUGGCGAAGGCGGCUUACUGGACCAUAACUGACGUUGAGGCUCGAAAGCGUGGGGAGCGAACAGGAUUAGAUACCCGAGUAGUC